rnacentral:rRNA from 1 species
UACGUAGGGUGCGAGCGUUGUCCGGAAUUAUUGGGCGUAAAGGGCUCGUAGGCGGUUUGUCGCGUCGGGAGUGAAAACUCAGGGCCUAACCCUGAGCCUGCUUCCGAUACGGGCAGACUAGAGGUAUGCAGGGGAGAACGGAAUUCCUGGUGUAGCGGUGAAAUGCGCAGAUAUCAGGAGGAACACCGGUGGCGAAGGCGGUUCUCUGGGCAUUACCUGACGCUGAGGAGCGAAAGUGUGGGGAGCGAACAGG